GGAAGGGUAGUCAAGUGGCCCAAGACAGCGGCUUGCUAAGCCGUCGGCGGGUUUACGCUCGCCCGUGGGUUCGAAUCCCACCCCUUCCGCCA
rnacentral:tRNA from 1 species